rnacentral:rRNA from 1 species
UACGUAGGGUGCAAGCGUUGUCCGGAAUUAUUGGGCGUAAAGAGCUCGUAGGCGGUUUGUUGCGUCGGCUGUGAAAUCCCGAGGCUCAACCUCGGGUCUGCAGUCGAUACGAGCAAACUAGAGUGUUGCAGGGGGAGACUGGAAUUCCUGGUGUAGCGGUGAAAUGCGCAGAUAUCAGGAGGAACACCGGUGGCGAAGGCGGAUCUCUGGGCAACAACUGACGCUGAGGAGCGAAAGCGUGGGGAGCGAACAGG